AUUGAACGCUGGCGGCAUGCUUUACACAUGCAAGUCGAACGGCAGCGCGGGCUUCGGCCUGGCGGCGAGUGGCGAGCGGGUGAGUAAUGCAUCGGAACGUGCCCAGUAGUGGGGGAUAGCCCGGCGAAAGCCGGAUUAAUACCGCAUACGACCUGAGGGUGAAAGCGGGGGACCGAAAGGCCUCGCGCUAUUGGAGCGGCCGAUGUCGGAUUAGCUAGUUGGUGGGGUAAAGGCUUACCAAGGCGACGAUCCGUAGCUGGUCUGGGAGGACGACCAGCCACACUGGGACUGAGACACGGCCCAGACUCCUACGGGAGGCAGCAGUGGGGAAUUUUGGACAAUGGGGGCAACCCUGAUCCAGCCAUGCCGCGUGCGGGAAGAAGGCCUUCGGGUUGUAAACCGCUUUUGUUCGGGAAGAAAUCCUCUGGGCUAAUACCCCGGGGGGAUGACGGUACCGGAAGAAUAAGCACCGGCUAACUACGUG
rnacentral:rRNA from 1 species